rnacentral:rRNA from 1 species
AUUGAACGCUGGCGGCAGGCUUAACACAUGCAAGUCGAGCGGAGAUGAGGUGCUUGCACCUUAUCUUAGCGGCGGACGGGUGAGUAAUGCUUAGGAAUCUGCCUAUUAGUGGGGGACAACAUUCCGAAAGGAAUGCUAAUACCGCAUACGUCCUACGGGAGAAAGCAGGGGAUCUUCGGACCUUGCGCUAAUAGAUGAGCCUAAGUCGGAUUAGCUAGUUGGUGGGGUAAAGGCCUACCAAGGCGACGAUCUGUAGCGGGUCUGAGAGGAUGGACCGCCACACUGGGACUGCGGCACGGCCCAGACUCCUACGGGAGGCAGCAGUGGUGAAGAUUGGACAAUGGGGGGAACCCUGAUCCAGCCAUGCCGCGUGUGUGAAGAAGGCCUUAUGGUUGUAAAGCACUUUAAGCGAGGAGGAGGCUACUGAGACUAAUACUCUUGGAUAGUGGACGUUACUCGCAGAAUAAGCACCGGCUAACUCUGUGCCAGCAGCCGCCGCCGUAA